rnacentral:snoRNA from 1 species
CAGUCCAGCUUUCAAUUUGUGCUCCUCCUGCCAAAACUGUGGCAGAGAGCUUUGGGGAUGGACGUAAAUAAAACACUCUUAUCUUAGGAGGACUUCUUCAAGUGUUGAACUGUCCUCAAAGGCACAAGAGAACAUC